GAUGAACGCUGGCGGCGUGCCUAAUACAUGCAAGUCGAACGAAGAGCCGAGGAACUUUCUCCUCUUACGUUAGCGUCGCAAAGGUGAGUGAAACGUGGAUUCCCUCCCUCUAUGACUGGGAUACCUUCGUGAAAACGGAGCUCAUACACGAUAAUAUAUUUAACCGCGUGGUUCAGUAGUGAUAGAAGGUGUUGCUUUCACUUAUAGAUGGAUCCGCGCCGCAUUAGCUAGUUGGUAAGGUAACGGCCUACCAAGGCAACGAUGCGGAGCCCACCCGAGAGGGUGAACGGCCACACUGGAACUGAGACACGGUCCAGACCCCUACGGGAGGGAGCAGUAGGGAAUCUUUCGCAAUGGGAGGAAGCCCGACGGAGGAAACCCGGGGGGGUGAAGAAGGGCUUCGGAGCUGAAAAGCUUGUUAUAAGGGAAGAAAAGAUGUUUAUGUAAAUAGGCACAUCUUUACGGUACCUAAGCAGAAAGCGCCGGGUAACUACGCG
rnacentral:rRNA from 1 species